GGGAAUGUGGCUUAGUGGUAUAGUGCUUGCCUAUCAUGCAUGAAGCCCUGGGUUUGAUUCCUCAUUAUUG
rfam:Dipodomys ordii contig_56877, whole genome shotgun sequence.